rnacentral:lncRNA from 10 species
AUGAGAAAUUUCACCUAUUGCAAAGUGGUCUUAUCCAUCUCCUUGAUUUAGGUACCUUUUAGACUUGUUCUUGCUGUUUAACUUUGGUGAAUGCAAGAGAUGUGCUGAGGAAAAAAGAUACAGAACUUCCUUCUGGAGAUGUUGUAGAUCCAGUACAAAAAGCCACAAGAAAAUCCUAGAGAAAAAAAAAAAAAAGUCAUCCUACUUAAAGUGGAUUUUAAAAGAUGAAAGAAAUUAAAUUAGUUCAGUGUAAUGGCAAGUGAAAUGAUCGUACUUAAGAGAUUCUUUUAAUCAAGUGUUAGCUUGGAAGGGUUUAAAUAAGUGUGGUAAUUAUUGUUUACAACAGAGCUUGGAGCAUACCUUUGCAGUCUGUCCAUAGUGUGAUUAACUGUGCACCAAGACAUAUGCUAGAAAAAAGUGUUGUGGUAGGUGAUGCUUUUAAAAUAAAGACUUCUAGAAAGUUAUGUGCAUUAAAAUUAAAAAUAACAGAUCAUGUAAUUAGAAUGGAACAGCAUUCUGGAUUGACCAGGUUAAAAGAGCUGCCAUGACUCCAGGCCAAGUGGUCAUCUCAGGUGCUCCUUGUGCAUAUAGAGUUAGAUGGCUGGAGUUCCUCUUAGCCAGGAUUAAAUAAGACAACUGUAGUUUAUCUUGUCAUUGAAGUGCUUAGUGAUUAGUUUUGAGUUUAUGGCAGGUCUGAUAUGACCCAUGGCAUACUCAGCUGGAAGCACAAUUUUAACUGGUGUACUAAGAAAUUUUCUAAAGACAAAUGGACAGAAGGAAAGGUGAUUAGACUCUUCCAGUCAGAAUGCCAACAAUAAACAGAGGCUACUUUUAGGAAAUUGAAACAUAAUAUGCUAGAAUGGUUAAUUGGGGAGAAGAAAACUUAGAAAUGUCCAUUCGGAUUUGGCAGUGCUGUGGUACUUGGGAAAUGAUCACAUUUCCAUGUUGGAAAUGUGCUUCAUAGAGCACAUCUUAUACACUUCCAAAAGGGACAGAACAAAUUAUCAAUAAAAAUAACAAGACUAAUUUAAGAAUUUCUUGGAUAUGAUUUCCUUAGGUGUUAUAAACGCAUAUUAUGGAGAAUAUCAUCAAGACUUGUCUUAAGAAACAAACUACAGGGCAAACCUUUGUCUUGGUACCUUGAGAAUUAUCCUGAUUUACAAAUUUCAUGAUGAUGAUUUAUUGCUGUUUCAGAUAACUAUAAAAAGUGAAAACAAAUCGAAAUCUAGAUAAUAGUGGUAUAACUAGAAAAGAGAAUGAAAAGGUUGGAAUUGUUAACUGUUAUGGAAUGGUAGAUUUUCUCUCAUAUGGCCAGCCAAGAACAGGCAAUCUUUGCUUAGUGUAUUAGCAAAGAACAGGCAGUCUUUAAUUAGUGUAUCUGUAUUGACGCUUCUGAUAAAGACAUACCCGAGACUGGGAAGAAAAAGAGGUUUAAUUGGACUUACAG